GAUCAAGCGCAUAAGGGCUUCUAGUGGAUGCCUUGGCAUUGAGAGGCGAUGAAGGACGUGGCACGCUGCGAUAAGAACCGGGGAGGCGCGAGCACCCUUUGAUCCGGUUAUUUCCGAAUGGGGAAACCCACCUUUGCAGCCUGCCAAUUUAGCUGCCGGUUCUUCUUCGGAAGGGCUGACGGCUCGGUUGGUUGGUUGCGAUAAGGUAUAAUGAACUGAAUACAUAGGUUCAUUAAGCGAACCCGGGGAACUGAAACAUCUCAGUACCUGGAGGAAAGGACAUCAACAGAGACUCCCCUAGUAGUGGCGAGCGAACGGGGACCAGGCCAGUGCUGUCGUGAAAUAAAACCGAAGGAUUUGGAAAGGUCCGCCAUAGUGGGUGAUAGCCCCGUAGGUAUCAAAUAGCGACAGACUCGAGUAGGGCGGGACACGUGAAAUCCUGUCUGAACAUGGGGGGACCACCCUCCAAGCCUAAGUACUCCUCAAUGACCGAUAGUGAACUAGUACCGUGAGGGAAAGGUGAAAAGCACCCCGACAAGGGGAGUGAAAUAGUACCUGAAACCGGAAGCCUACAAGCAGUCGGAGCUGCCUCGCGCAGUGACGGCGUACCUUUUGUAUAAUGGGUCAGCGACUUCAUGUGUCGAGCAAGCUUAAGCCGUUAGGUGUAGGCGCAGCGAAAGCGAGUCUGAAUAGGGCGCUCAAGUUCGACGUAUGACGACCCGAAACCAGGUGAUCUAUCCAUGAGCAGGAUGAAGGUUGGGUAACACCAACUGGAGGUCCGAACCCGUGAAUGUUGAAAAAUUCUGGGAUGACUUGUG
rnacentral:rRNA from 1 species